CAGUGUUAGUUAUAGUAUGCAUGAGGAACUCAGAAUCCCAGAACACACUGCACCUUCCUUGUUAGACUGAAUGUUCUGGACAGCUCUCUUGUCCUCAUCACCAUCUACCCCUCUACAAUGGUGACAGUGUUUCCUACUUUAAUAUGUAGCAGAAGGUGUAGUGUGUAGUGUGUAUCAGAAGGUGUAGUGUGUAUCAGAAGGUGUAGUGUGUAUCAGAAGGUGUAGUGUGUAUCAGAAGGUGUAGUGUGUAGUGUGUAUCAGAUGGUGUAGUGUGUAUCAGAUGGUGUAGUGUGUAUCAGAAGGUGUAGUGUGUAUCAGAAGGUGUAGUGUGUAUCAGAAGGUGUAGUGUGUAGUGUGUAUCAGAAGGUGUAGUGUGUAUCAGAAGGUGUAGUGUGUAUCAGAUGGUUUAGUGUGUAUCAGAAGGUGUAGUGUGUAUCAGAUGGUGUAGUGUGUAUCAGAAGGUGUAGUGUGUAUCAGAUGGUGUAGUGUGUAUCAGAAGGUGUAGUGUGUAUCAGAAGGUGUAGUGUGUAUCAGAUGGUUUAGUGUGUAUCAGAAGGUGUAGUGUGUAUCAGAUGGUGUAGUGUGUAGUGUGUAUCAGCUGGUGUAGUGUGUAUCAGAAGGUGUAGUGUGUAUCAGAUGGUUUAGUGUGUAUCAGAAGGUGUAGUGUGUAUAGGAAGGUGUAGUGUAUAUCAGAUGGUUUAGUGUGUAGUGUGUAUCAGAAGGUGUAGUGUGUAUCAGAAGGUGUAGUGUGUAUCAGAAGGUGUAGUGUGUAUCAGAAGGUGUAGUGUGUAGUGUGUAUCAGAAGGUGUAGUGUGUAUCAGAAGGUGUAGUGUGUAUCAGAAGGUGUAGUGUGUAUCAGAUGGUGUAGUGUGUAGUGUGUAUCAGAAGGUGUAGUGUGUAUCAGAAGGUGUAGUGUGUAUCAGAAGGUGUAGUGUGUAUCAGAAGGUGUAGUGUGUAGUGUGUAUCAGAAGGUGUAGUGUGUAUCAGAAGGUGUAGUGUGUAUCAGAUGGUGUAGUGUGUAUCAGAAGGUGUAGUGUGUAUCAGAUGGUGUAGUGUGUAUCAGAAGGUGUAGUGUGUAUCAGAAGGUGUAGUGUGUAUCAGGAGGUGUAGUGUGUAUCAGAAGGUGUAGUGUAUAGUGUGUAUCAGGAGUUGUAGUGUGUAUCAGAUGGUGUAGUGUGUAUCAGAUGGUGUAGUGUGUAUCAGAAGGUGUAGUGUGUAUCAGAAGGUGUAGUGUGUAUCAGAUGGUGUAGUGUGUAGUGUGUAUCAGAAGGUGUAGUGUGUAUCAGAAGGUGUAGUGUGUAUCAGAAGGUGUAGUGUGUAUCAGAAGGUGUAGUGUGUAUCAGAUGGUGUAGUGUGUAUCAGAAGGUGUAGUGUGUAUCAGAUGGUGUAGUGUGUAUCAGAAGGUGUAGUGUGUAUCAGAAGGUGUAGUGUGUAUCAGGAGGUGUAGUGUGUAUCAGAAGGUGUAGUGUGUAGUGUGUAUCAGGAGUUGUAGUGUGUAUCAGAUGGUGUAGUGUGUAUCAGAUGGUGUAGUGUGUAUCAGAAGGUGUAGUGUGUAGUGUGUAUCAGAAGGUGUAGUGUGUAUCAGAAGGUGUAGUGUGUAUCAGAAGGUGUAGUGUGUAGUGUGUAUCAGAAGGUGUAGUGUGUAUCAGAAGGUGUAGUGUGUAUCAGAAGGUGUAGUGUGUAUCAGAAGGUGUAGUGUGUAGUGUGUAUCAGAAGGUGUAGUGUUUAUCAGAAGGUGUAGUCUGUAUCAGAUGGUGUAGUGUGUAUCAGAAGGUGUAGUGUGUAUCAGAAGGUGUAGUGUGUAGUGUGUAUCAGAUGGUGUAGUGUGUAUCAGAAGGUGUAGUGUGUAGUGUGUAUCAGGAGUUGUAGUGUGUAUCAGAUGGUGUAGUGUGUAUCAGAUGGUGUAGUGUGUAUCAGAAGGUGUAGUGUGUAGUGUGUAUCAGGAGUUGUAGUGUGUAUCAGAUGGUGUAGUGUAUAUCAGAUGGUUUAGUGUGUAGUGUGUAUCAGGAGUUGUAGUGUGUAUCAGAUGGUGUAGUGUGUAUCAGAUGGUGUAGUGUGUAUCAGAUGGUGUAGUGUGUAUCAGAAGGUGUAGUGUGUAUCAGAAGGUGAAGUGUGUAUCAGAUGGUGUAGUGUGUAGUGUGUAUCAGAAGGUGUAGUGUGUAUCAGAAGGUGUAGUGUGUAUCAAAAGGUGUAGUGUGUAUCAGAAGGUGUAGUGUGUAUCAGAAGGUGUAGUGUGUAGUGUGUAUCAGAAGGUGUAGUGUGUAUCAGAAGGUGUAGUGUGUAUCAGAUGGUGUAGUGUGUAGUGUGUAUCAGAAGGUGUAGUGUGUAUCAGAAGGUGUAGUGUGUAUCAGAAGGUGUAGUGUGUAUCAGAAGGUGUAGUGUGUAUCAGAAGGUGUAGUGUGUAUCAGAAGGUGUAGUGUGUAGUGUGUAUCAGAAGGUGUAGUGUGUAUCAGAAGGUGUAGUGUGUAUCAGAUGGUGUAGUGUGUAUCAGAUGGUGUAGUGUGUAUCAGAAGGUGUAGUGUGUAUCAGAAGGUGUAGUGUGUAGUGUGUAUCAGAAGGUGUAGUGUGUAUCAGAAGGUGUAGUGUGUAUCAGAUGGUGUAGUGUGUAUCAGAAGGUGUAGUGUGUAUCAGAAGGUGUAGUGUGUAGUGUGUAUCAGAAGGUGUAGUGUGUAUCAGAAGGUGUAGUGUGUAUCAGAAGGUGUAGUGUGUAUCAGAAGGUGUAGUGUGUAGUGUGUAUCAGAUGGUGUAGUGUGUAUCAGAUGGUGUAGUGUGUAUCAGUAGGUGUAGUGUGUACCAGAAGGUGUAGUGUGUAUCAGAAGGUGUAGUGUGUAUCAGAAGGUGUAGUGUGUAGUGUGUAUCAGAAG
rnacentral:lncRNA from 1 species